CUUCAGGCUUUAUUUAAAGCUAUUAACUAAAUCUUUGAAUUUAUU
rfam:Pteropus alecto contig18432, whole genome shotgun sequence.